rnacentral:snRNA from 1 species
UAAAAUGUGUAGGGGUUUCACUAUACUAAAAUUGAAAUGAUAUGAAGAAGAUUAGCAUGCCCUCUGCAAAAGUGGCAUGCAAAUUUGUGAAGCAUUCCAUAUUUUA